CAGUCGAGGGGUAUAGUUCUUCGGAACUAGAGACCGGCGCACGGGUGCGUAACGCGUAUGCAAUCUACCUUUUACAGAGGGAUAGCCCAGAGAAAUUUGGAUUAAUACCUCAUAGUAUAUAGCCCUGGCAUCAGGAUUAUAUUAAAGUCACAACGGUAAAAGAUGAGCAUGCGUCCCAUUAGCUAGUUGGUAAGGUAACGGCUUACCAAGGCUACGAUGGGUAGGGGUCCUGAGAGGGAGAUCCCCCACACUGGUACUGAGACACGGACCAGACUCCUACGGGAGGCAGCAGUGAGGAAUAUUGGACAAUGGGCGCAAGCCUGAUCCAGCCAUGCCGCGUGCAGGAUGACGGUCCUAUGGACUGUAAACUGCUUUUAUACGAGAAGAAACAUCCCGACGUGUCGGGACUUGACGGUAUCGUAAGAAUAAGGAUCGGCUAACUCCGUGCCAGCAGCCGCGGUAAUACGGAGGAUCCAAGCGUUAUCCGGAAUCAUUGGGUUUAAAGGGUCCGUAGGCGGUUUAAUAAGUCAGUGGUGAAAGCCCAUCGCUCAACGGUGGAACGGCCAUUGAUACUGUUAGACUUGAAUUAUUAGGAAGUAACUAGAAUAUGUAGUGUAGCGGUGAAAUGCUUAGAGAUUACAUGGAAUACCAAUUGCGAAGGCAGGUUACUACUAAUUGAUUGACGCUGAUGGACGAAAGCGUGGGUAGCGAACAGGAUUAGAUACCCUGGUAGUCCACGCCGUANACGAUGGAUACUAGCUGUUGGAAGCAAUUUCAGUGGCUAAGCGAAAGUGAUAAGUAUCCCACCUGGGGAGUACGUUCGCAAGAAUGAAA
rnacentral:rRNA from 1 species